UCUCAUGUUCCUCCUCUCUUCUUCCUCAUGUCUAGGGUUCUUUUAGGCCCUAUCUGAUCUGCAUCAAGAUUUUUCUGCCAUCCUUGUUGCUACUUCUACGAUCUACGAUUAGUAAGGAGAGAUUUGAUCCUGACAACAUGAAGACCUCUAUGUGGCAUGAUAGGGAUCGGCCCAGAGUGGAUCCCUUAUCGGAGAGUGAGGUUGAUAAGUGCCUCCUUCAUUCGUGGCUCUCUGGCUUGCUCAGCCAUGUUUGCCUACCUUGAUCUGGGCUUUGUGCAGGUUGCUGCAAGAGCAGUCCUACACCAGAUUCAGCUGCUGCAUAGUGUUGACCACUGCAGUCAAUGCCUGCAACUAGGUAAGCAGAAUAUUAAACUAGUCUUGAUUUACCCCUACGGUCGGUGGGGGGGCUGUGGAGGUGCCUCCAACUACUGAGCCAAAAUAUGGUUCUUGAUCAAAUUUUUGGCUAGCCAACACAUUGUAGCAUUUGAACACCUUGAGGAUGUUCUUCGCUACGACAUUAUUAUAGAUCGCAUACUUCUUCCCAAAAAAUAAGUACAUGAUCCUUCUUCUAACGCCAAUCUAUUACUGUAGAUUUUCAGCUCGGACUGGAGUUGCUAAAGUGUGGUCUCUUCCGUUAGGGGCAACGAUGGCUAGAUCUGCAAAAGAAGUUUCUAAUCGAAAUUGGUUCCGAUGAAAAUCCUUCGAUGUUCAAGUUAGAAAUCUGAAAUAGAUGGUUGGGAGAGCGUGCAAGAGUUGCAUACCUUCGGGGGUCCCCUGAUUGUCUGUAUUUAUAUAUCAACAUUAGAGCCAUGAGGGGGGAUGAGUUCUAUGAGGCCAUCCCGG
rnacentral:lncRNA from 1 species